rnacentral:tRNA from 1 species
GCUGGAAUAGCUCAGUUGGUUAGAGUGUGUGGCUGUUAACCACAAGGUCAGAGAUUCAAUAUCUCCUUCUAGCA